rnacentral:rRNA from 1 species
AUGUGUGUCCCGAAGAAGAAGGGAGGCAUGGGGUUUAGAGACCUUCACAGCUUUAACCUUGCUAUGUUAGCAAAGCAGUGUUGGCGACUUCUCCAAAAUACUGACUCUUUGUGUGCACGUGUUCUGAGUGCAAAAUAGUAUCCUAGUGGCGAUAUUCUCAAAGCUAGUCCAAAGAAAGGCUCAUCUUUUACUUGGCAAAGUAUUGUUGCUGGAAUACAAACUUUCAAAAGGGGUUGCAUCUGGCGAGUGGGCACUGGUUCCUAGAUUAACAUUUGGGAGGACCCUUGGAUCCCUUCUAGCGAAACCAUGAAGCUUAUUACCCCUAGAGGAGGAAUUAUGUUAACAAAGGUGGAAGAUAUAAUCGACCCCCACACGGGACGGUGGGAUGAGGCACUAUUGCAUAGUGCGUUCUCGCCAGUGGAUGUGCACAGAAUACUUCAAAUCCCCCUCCAUGUUGAAACUAUGGAAGAUUCUGUGGCGUGGCAUUAUACGAGAUCUGGAACUUUCUCAAUUCAUUUGGCAUACCAUGUGGAGUUCGAUCAUUAG